rnacentral:misc_RNA from 1 species
UUUGCAUUCAAUUUCUUCUCUCUUUGUUUCUGUUUUCAGGAUUUCCUUUCCUUUUACUUAAGACUGCAUUCCUUGAGAAAUUUUAACAUGGGUGGUCUACCUUUUGUAAACUCUUCAUCGGCCAUAGCUUUGCCGGAAUCGAAACUUGACCAAAAAGGCUCAGCAGUGGUCAAGUCUACCCCAGAUGGAAAACCAAAAAAGAAGAUCUGUUGUGCCUGUCCUGAUACUAAGAAGCUAAGAGAUGAGUGCAUUGUGGAGCAUGGUGAAGAAGCAUGUGGAAAAUGGAUUGAGG